rnacentral:rRNA from 1 species
GGGUUGUGAGGUUAAGCGACUAAGCGUACACGGUGGAUGCCCUGGCAGUCAGAGGCGAUGAAGGACGUGCUAAUCUGCGAUAAGCGUCGGUAAGGUGAUAUGAACCGUUAUAACCGGCGAUUUCCGAAUGGGGAAACCCAGUGUGUUUCGACACACUAUCAUUAACUGAAUCCAUAGGUUAAUGAGGCGAACCGGGGGAACUGAAACAUCUAAGUACCCCGAGGAAAAGAAAUCAACCGAGAUUCCCCCAGUAGCGGCGAGCGAACGGGGAGCAGCCCAGAGCCUGAAUCAGUGUGUGUGUUAGUGGAAGCGUCUGGAAAGGCGCGCGAUACAGGGUGACAGCCCCGUACACAAAAAUGCACAUGCUGUGAGCUCGAUGAGUAGGGCGGGACACGUGGUAUCCUGUCUGAAUAUGGGGGGACCAUCCUCCAAGGCUAAAUACUCCUGACUGACCGAUAGUGAACCAGUACCGUGAGGGAAAGGCGAAAAGAACCCCGGCGAGGGGAGUGAAAAAGAACCUGAAACCGUGUACGUACAAGCAGUGGGAGCACGCUUAGGCGUGUGACUGCGUACCUUUUGUAUAAUGGGUCAGCGACUUAUAUUCUGUAGCAAGGUUAACCGAAUAGGGGAGCCGAAGGGAAACCGAGUCUUAACUGGGCGUUAAGUUGCAGGGUAUAGACCCGAAACCCGGUGAUCUAGCCAUGGGCAGGUUGAAGGUUGGGUAACACUAACUGGAGGACCGAACCGACUAAUGUUGAAAAAUUAGCGGAUGACUUGUGGCUGGGGGUGAAAGGCCAAUCAAACCGGGAGAUAGCUGGUUCUCCCCGAAAGCUAUUUAGGUAGCGCCUCGUGAAUUCAUCUCCGGGGGUAGAGCACUGUUUCGGCAAGGGGGUCAUCCCGACUUACCAACCCGAUGCAAACUGCGAAUACCGGAGAAUGUUAUCACGGGAGACACACGGCGGGUGCUAACGUCCGUCGUGAAGAGGGAAACAACCCAGACCGCCAGCUAAGGUCCCAAAGUCAUGGUUAAGUGGGAAACGAUGUGGGAAGGCCCAGACAGCCAGGAUGUUGGCUUAGAAGCAGCCAUCAUUUAAAGAAAGCGUAAUAGCUCACUGGUCGAGUCGGCCUGCGCGGAAGAUGUAACGGGGCUAAACCAUGCACCGAAGCUGCGGCAGCGACACUAUGUGUUGUUGGGUAGGGGAGCGUUCUGUAAGCCUGUGAAGGUGUGCUGUGAGGCAUGCUGGAGGUAUCAGAAGUGCGAAUGCUGACAUAAGUAACGAUAAAGCGGGUGAAAAGCCCGCUCGCCGGAAGACCAAGGGUUCCUGUCCAACGUUAAUCGGGGCAGGGUGAGUCGACCCCUAAGGCGAGGCCGAAAGGCGUAGUCGAUGGGAAACAGGUUAAUAUUCCUGUACUUGGUGUUACUGCGAAGGGGGGACGGAGAAGGCUAUGUUGGCCGGGCGACGGUUGUCCCGGUUUAAGCGUGUAGGCUGGUUUUCCAGGCAAAUCCGGAAAAUCAAGGCUGAGGCGUGAUGACGAGGCACUACGGUGCUGAAGCAACAAAUGCCCUGCUUCCAGGAAAAGCCUCUAAGCAUCAGGUAACAUCAAAUCGUACCCCAAACCGACACAGGUGGUCAGGUAGAGAAUACCAAGGCGCUUGAGAGAACUCGGGUGAAGGAACUAGGCAAAAUGGUGCCGUAACUUCGGGAGAAGGCACGCUGAUAUGUAGGUGAAGUCCCUCGCGGAUGGAGCUGAAAUCAGUCGAAGAUACCAGCUGGCUGCAACUGUUUAUUAAAAACACAGCACUGUGCAAACACGAAAGUGGACGUAUACGGUGUGACGCCUGCCCGGUGCCGGAAGGUUAAUUGAUGGGGU